GACUUAUAAAUAAAUAAACUACAAUCUUCUUCUCUUUCAAUUCAUAGUCUAUCUUCUUGAAGCACCAUUAAAGUACUCUUCAGAUCAUUAAGAAUACCUUCAUGGUAUCAAAGCAGGAGAUCCUAUUCUGAGGAAAAGAGAAGUUGAAUUGGUUGAUAUUAAUCUAGUUUCGGCAUUAAAAAGAAUCAAAGCUUCCGCAAAAGAGAUUUCAAGUUCAAGAUCUGAAGUUUUUUUCUGAAGAUUCAGAUUAUAAAUGACGAAUGCAAAUGGUAAUUCUGUGAACUCUGAUGGUCUUGUGAAUGGCUUAGCAUCUAACAAUAAUGGAAAUUCUGGAAAUCCAGUGAAUCCUAAAAAUUUUGCUAGUCAAGGAUCUUUACACUGGCAAGGUGAGGGAGGUUGAAAAAGAAGAUGCUGGACUGUACUUACUUCUCAAUCAUCUUACUAAGGAUCAACUACAACAUGCCUUAUGUGUGGUGAAAGAUAAGCAGCAGGAUAAGUAUACCAGUCAAAAGUAAAUGUCAGAAGAAGAGAUAAGUGUGUGGCAUAAAAGGCUAGGACAUAUGUCUUCUCAUAUGUUAAGUCAAUUAUUUUCUGUCAAUAAUGAAACUAUUAACAAGUCUCUGAGUAAAUGUAGUGUAUGUCCCUAUGCAAAGCAUACAAAAACUUUUUUUCUACUUAGUAGUAUUAAAAAUAAUGAA